rnacentral:tRNA from 1 species
UCUAAUAUGGCAGAAUAAGUGCAUUGGAUUUAAACCCCAAAAAUAAAAGAUUAUCUUUUUUUUAGAA